UCUCUGGUAGUAUAUCGGUUAGUACACGCGCCUGUCAUAUUGGUCAAAAAGAUGAAGUACGCGCGAAAGCUGGGUUCGACUCCCAGCCAGAGAG